rnacentral:rRNA from 1 species
CCUGUCUCCGAAUGCAUCUAUGAUUANAGUUUGAUCAUGGCUCAGAGUGAACGCUGGCGGUAGUGCCUAACACAUGCAAGUCGAACGGCAGCACAGGAGAGCUUGCUCUCUGGGUGGCGAGUGGCGGACGGGCUGAGGAAUACAUCGCGAAUCUACUCUGUCGUGGGUGGAUAACGUAGUGGAAACUUACUGCUAAUACCUGCAUUACUGUACCUACGGGUGAAAUGCAGUGGGUAUCUUCGGACCUUGCGCGAUUUGAAUGAGCCUGUAUGUCGGAUUAGCUAGGUUGGCGGUGGUAAAGGCCCACCAAUGGGCGGACAGAUCCGUAGGCUGGUCUGUAGAGGAUGAUCGAGCCACACUUGGAAGCUGAGACACGGUCCAGACUCCUACGUGGAGGCAGCAGUGGGGAAUAUUGGACAAUGGGCGCAAGGCCUGAUCCAGGCCAUACCUGGCGUGGGUGAAUGAAGGCCUUUCGGGUUGUAAAGGCCCG